UACGAAGGGGGCAAGCGUUAAUCGGAAUUACUGGGCGUAAAGCGCGCGUAGGUGGUUUGUUAAGUUGAAUGUGAAAGCCCCGGGCUCAACCUGGGAACUGCAUCCAAAACUGGCAAGCUAGAGUAUGGCAGAGGGUGGUGGAAUUUCCUGUGUAGCGGUGAAAUGCGUAGAUAUAGGAAGGAACACCAGUGGCGAAGGCGACCACCUGGGCUAAUACUGACACUGAGGUGCGAAAGCGUGGGGAGCAAACAGG
rnacentral:rRNA from 1 species